GUGUUGUCCGGGUGCGAUGAUGUUGCGGGUAAGGCGAUGACGAAUGCAGGAAGCCGGUGCGAAGCCGGCGCGGUCCCGCCACUGUAAUCGGGGAGCGACCCUCAUCGGCCACGGCCACGUGCUGGAAGGCGAGGCGAGCGGCGAUCCGAGAGCCAGGAGACUCGCGUCAUCGUGCCCUGCGAACCU
rnacentral:ncRNA from 19 species